UACGUAGGGUGCGAGCGUUAAUCGGAAUUACUGGGCGUAAAGGGUGCGCAGGCGGCCUCGCAAGUCAGGCGUGAAAUCCCCGGGCUUAACUUGGGAAUUGCGCUUGAAACUAUGAGGCUGGAGUGUGGCAGAGGGAGGUGGAAUUCCACGUGUAGCGGUGAAAUGCGUAGAUAUGUGGAGGAACACCGAUGGCGAAGGCAGCCUCCUGGGCCGACACUGACGCUCAUGCACGAAAGCGUGGGGAGCAAACAGG
rnacentral:rRNA from 1 species